rnacentral:lncRNA from 1 species
GAUGAACACCUACAAAAUGUUUGGAAUAAGUCAAAAUAAAAACAACCAAUAAAAUCAACUACUACCUAAUAAACAAUUACAUCAUUCUCACCCAAUCAGCAGACAACAAAUCUUGCAUUCGUACUAGAUCGUUUCGGAAAUAAGGCUGGUAAUCAUUAACUUGCCACACAUGUCUGUUGGCAAUUCUUUUCUUAUUGUCGUUCAGAAAACAACAAACUUAAUCAAUAAACAACACUGGCCAUAUAGCAAUAUACCAUACAAAAAAAAAAAAAAACAAACUGUAAUUACAGCUAUUACCGCAAACAUUGGACUGAAUAUCAUCCUCUUUAUGAAUCCAAUCGACCUUUUCUCAAAAUACAUGAACACGGUUGCUG